UAGUAUACAUACACAAUAAAUGAUACACAAAAUAUAUGUAAUGCAUCUAAAAGUAUAUGCCUCUAUUUUAUACUUUAAAAUUACUUAAAUAAUGGUAAAUGAAAUGAAUGAUUAUAUACUGAUAUAGUAAAGAUAGUGUUGCUACUACAUGAUAUGUGUAUUUACAUAGGAAUAUCUUCUUAUUUGAAGGUAUUUAUUUUGUUUGAAAAUGAGAAGAUAAGGUAAAUAUGAAAAAGUAAUGUUGAAUUAAAAACUAAGGCGCAUAAUACAAUAUAAUGAAAGGACUGAAAUUUGGCAAUACUCUACCCUUUGUGUCUUUGUGUAAUUACAGUAGCCAAAAAUAAAAACAUACAGCGAAAAGCAAAUAAUUACCAGUAACAGAAGUUUAUGAAUUCACUUUUGCUUUAUGCAUAAAAUAAAUGGUAUUAAAAACAUACAUAACCAACCAUGUGGAAACAUCAGUACAAUAGCUACUUAAAAUGGUUUAAUUAUGCUUAAAAGCACCUGACAAAUAGCAUAGUACAUGAACUACCAACACUAGAGAAUGCGCACAUUAACUGGAUGUCGUGUCAAAAAGCUAAUGGUUACGAAACAAAUUUUUAAAUAUUCA